rnacentral:lncRNA from 1 species
UCGGAUACUUCCGAAGCUAUGAGAGGAGCACCUACAAGCAAUGUAGUACCUUUGUCCUGGUUGUCACUUUCAUCCUCGAGAAUAGUGACGGUGCCCUUCUUGAAACACUUGAAGAAGGCCAUCUGUAUAAGAUAAGCGACAUGAAACAAUAUUCAGUAUCAGGCUGUUGACUUCAUACUUAAAAAUAAAAAAAAUAAGAAAAAACCUUACUUGUACAAAUUUGAAGAGCCGGAUAAAGGUGGAAUGUCUCGAGAAAUAAUCUUUACUCGUCCUCCAUUUACGUAAAGCCUAAGCGCUUGAGCGGGUUAUCACCAAGUCGGAGAGAUGGAUCAAACCCAAGUGGUAUAGGACAUCUACGUUCUUCACUCGUCAUCUACUUACGUAAAGCCUAAGCGCUUGAGCGGGUUAUCACCAAGUCGGAGAGAUGGAUCAAACCCAAGCGGUAUAGGACGUCUACGUUCUUCACUCGUCCUUCACUUAUGUAAAGCCUAAGAGCUUAAGCGGGUUAUCACCAAGUCGGAGAGAUGGAUCAAACCCAAGCGGUAUAGGACGUCUACAUUCUUCACUCGCCUUCACUUACGUAAAGCCUAAGUGCUUGAGUGGGUUAUCACCAAGUCGGAGAGAUGGAUCAAACCCAAGCGAUAUAGGACGCCUACGUUCUUCACUUUCUUUCAAAGUACCUAUUAUAAAAACAUAUACAUAUAUAAAUAUUAUCAUAAAUAAAUGAUGAAUAAAUAAAUGAUUGAAAAAGUGAUAGAUGUGCAGUAGCAAAAAAAAAAAGAAAAAAGAAGAAGGGUAUUUCAAGCUGCUUGGACUAGCCCAAGCUAAAUGGGGGCACCCAGUCUGCCCACUUCUUCAGCCCUCACCCAAGAUCUUCCCAAGUAUCUCGCCAUCAGCUUUAACUACAAUGCCAUAAUUGGAGUCUUGCCAACCACGCCUACAGUACCAUGAAGGGGCAUGGACAUAACCAAAGGAUGAAUGUCAUCUCAUACAAGAUUCCAACAUACCCAAAAAAAGGGGGUAACUUUCAAAGCUCCACGUUGGAAGCAAUCCAAAUUAUUGUAAAGAAAUGAAGUAACACUUCAAGCUGCACUUCCUACAUGUGACAAAGCACAUAUCUACAGUGCAUCAUGAAGUGGGGGCAAUUUGUAGACAAAGAAAUUUUGACGAAUUAAAAUCCACUAAACAAGAAAAUAAUUAGGGUUUGGUGGAUUAAAUUGUGGGCCCCAUAAUUCGCCCAUGUGGCGUGUGACUCAUCAAAAUUGGAUUAGUUGUCAAAAAGUGACAAGUGGCGACAUCCGAUGGAGUGCAUCAAACGGUUCAAAGUGAAGACAAAAUUAAGGGAAAGAAUCUUCUGUGAUUAACUUUGAUUUAAAUCAAAUAUUAAUCAAAUCAAUCAAUCGAAGAUAAUUUGGUUAAAUUGCCAAAUUAUUGGAAUUGAUUUUCAAAUCAAAUCAGAAUUCCACAAAGGAAGGUUUUAAAGAAGGAAAGCUAUUUAGGUCAAGCAUCCUGCAGGAGCCUAUAAAUAGGAGGCCUCAAGAUGAAAGAAAGGGUGAGAAAAAACCUAGCAUUCAGAAGAAACAGAAAACUCU